rnacentral:rRNA from 1 species
UACGAAGGGGGCGAGCGUGUUCGGAAUUACUGGGCGUAAAGGGCGCGUAGGCGGCCCUCCAAGUCAGGCGUGAAAGCCCCCGGGCUCAACCUGGGGAAUGGCGCUUGGGGACUGGGGGGGCUGGAGUUCGGGAGAGGAGCGUGGAAUUCCCAGUGUAGAAGGUUGAAAUCGUAGAUAUUGGGAAGAACACCGGGUGGCGAAGGCGGGCGCUCUGGGACCGAU